CCCCUAGUGGCUGUCUCCUGGUCCAUAGCACAGGUUUUAUGUUGAGGGACCAGACACCCAGACCACUUCAUUGAGAUGAAGUAGUCUGGGUGACUAUAGUGUCCCUUUAAGUUCAAAGCCCCCAAUGGGCUGGGCAGGAAUUGCAAAAUGUAAUGUCAUUUGUAAGGUCAGCGUCAAUGCUCCAAAAGCACUCCAUUAAAUGAAGGGAUUUUGCUUCUUAAACAAACCCUUUAAAAUAUGGGGAGGUACAUAACGCCAGAGACACUUUACUUUAGA